CAGCAGCCGCGGUAAUGCGAAGGGUGCAAGCGUUAAUCGGAAUUACUGGGCGUAAAGCGUGCGUAGGCGGUGAGUUAAGUCUGCUGUGAAAUCCCCGGGCUCAACCUGGGAAUGGCAGUGGAUACUGGCUCGCUAGAGUGUGUCAGAGGAUGGUGGAAUUCCCGGUGUAGCGGUGAAAUGCGUAGAGAUCGGGAGGAACAUCAGUGGCGAAGGCGGCCAUCUGGGACAACACUGACGCUGAGGCACGAAAGCGUGGGGAGCAAACAGGAUUAGAUACCCCUGUAUCCCUGUCUCUUAUACC
rnacentral:rRNA from 1 species